rnacentral:lncRNA from 1 species
CCCCCCCUCAUCCCUUUCAUGCCCUUGCUUAUUAAAGAUAUGACAUUUACUCAUGAGGGGAACAAGACAUUCAUUGACAAUCUAGUAAACUUUGAAAAAAUGCGCAUGAUUGCAAAUACUGCCAGAACGGUGCGCUACUACAGGAGCCAGCCAUUCAAUCCGGAUGCUGCUCAAGCUAAUAAGAACCAUCAGGAUGUCCGGAGUUAUGUACGGCAAUUAAAUGUGAUUGACAACCAGAGAACUUUAUCACAGAUGUCACACAGAUUAGAGCCUCGCAGGCCAUAGACAUCUGCAGUGCCCAGAGUGAUGCUCCGUCUCCAGUCCACAAUCUUUCAAAAGAUGCUGUGUAUGCUACUACUGACUGUGUUGCUACUAGAGAAUUCCCCAGAAUGAGCAAGAGACACCUCCUGAGAGCCCCUCGGGGCCACAUCCUGCUUUCCGACCACACAGGAGAAGCGAUCUGUCUUGUCUAACGCGGACAUGCCGUAGCUUAGGAACCAUCAGCUGUAGUCAUCUCCUUCACGGUUGGCACACCACCGCCAGGCUCACGUGAAGGCAUAACCUCGGCGAGGGCUACACCAGGCCCCUGACAUCCCUUCCCAGGCUGUUGCAGCAUGAGACUGUGCCGUGGAUAGGUUUGACUUGGAAUCGCCUGCGAUGAUAUAAUUGAAUGAUUUGUUUACUUAGCACCUUAUUUGGGGUCUGGGUUCUGGGGAGGGUGUUGACCAUAAAAGUCCAAAUUAUCCAUCAUGUUCCUCCAUCGUCAUAAUCUUACCUCUGAAGGAAUGGAACCUCAUCACAACACUAUGAAACAUUAUGACUGUUCAGUCUGUAAUUUCGGAAUGAUCUAUAGAAUAAUAUGUUUACAUUGUAACUUUUAAAAACUUACAAAUCAGGAUUACACACAUGAGAAUUCCACUAAGAAACACCAAGGUUCUUAAUAUCGCCAGCGUUAAGAUAGAAAGUAACAUUUCAGAAGAGCACAAUAUACACAAAACAUUUUUUCAAAUUGAAAUAUUUUCCUGGGCAUUAAAAAACCUUUCCACUACAAAUUUAUUGUUACUGAUGAAAAAAAAAGCAUAUUUUCUGGACUUAAAUGUUAUUACAAAAAUCUUAAUUUUCAGCAAUUGUUUUGCACUUUCAGAUAGAUUGUAAAUAGGUUAUGCAGUCAAUGGUAUAGAAUUAUUUAUUUGCUACAUAAUAGACAUUGUGCCAAAUAAUUCCUUUUUAUUUAUUUUAUUCAGUAUGAAAUUUUGGAGUACAUUUUUUCUGUUUUCUUAAUUAGACUACAUUUAAUGUAUAGGAAUUGUAUGUACAUAUCUCUUCUGUAAAUAACAGCCAGUAUCUUCAUUAAAUAUACUUGACAAG